rnacentral:piRNA from 1 species
UAGGUUUCCGUAGCUGACAGACCCAUCUCC